rnacentral:misc_RNA from 1 species
AAACUACAAGGGGAGCCGAAGCUCCCCAAGAAGUAGUUGCAUGCUCUAUUUUUAUUAUUGGUUUCGGGCUUUUUGUUUUUGUUAAGUGCCCUCGUCAUGAAGUUUUUCCUUUCAUGACCCUCCCAAUCGGGAGCCAAGAGCAAACGGAUUGCUUUGGUCGCUGUGCUGCAGUGAUCUUACGAUCCAACCAGUUCAGGCACUGUCUUAGGACAGUU